GGAGAAUUCUGUGAGGACUAAGUCCUUCCCUUCAGUGCAGUGGGUUCCCGUCUGGCCCAUGGUGGGUCUAGAAAUGUCAUCUGGGAGCUCUGGCCUGGAAUGGGGGCUUCAAGACUCUGCCUGGUCCUUUAUUUUAUGAUGGCUGAGCAGAUGGAGUCUCACUCUGUCGCCCAGGCUUGAGUACAGUGGCAUGAUCUCGGCUCACUGCAACCUCCACCUCCGGGUUCAAGCAAUUCUUCUGUCUCAGCCUCCCGAGUAGCUGGGACCACAG
rnacentral:lncRNA from 1 species